rnacentral:rRNA from 1 species
GAUGAACGCUGGCGGCGUGCCUAAUACAUGCAAGUCGAGCGAACGGACGAGAAGCUUGCUUUUCUGAUGUUAGCGGCGGACGGGUGAGUUACACGUGGAUAACCUACCUAUAAGACUGGGAUAACUUCGGGAAACCGGAGCUAAUACCGGAUAAUAUUUUGAACCGCAUGGUUCAAAAGUGAAAGACGGUCUUGCUGUCACUUAUAGAUGGAUCCGCGCUGCAUUAGCUAGUUGGUAAGGUAACGGCUUACCAAGGCAACGAUGCAUAGCCGACCUGAGAGGGUGAUCGGCCACACUGGAACUGAGACACGGUCCAGACUCCUACGGGAGGCAGCAGUAGGGAAUCUUCCGCAAUGGGCGAAAGCCUGACGGAGCAACGCCGCGUGAGUGAUGAAGGUCUUCGGAUCGUAAAACUCUGUUAUUAGGGAAGAACAUAUGUGUAAGUAACUGUGCACAUCUUGACGGUACCUAAUCAGAAAGCCACGGCUAACUACGUG